rnacentral:rRNA from 1 species
CAAUAGCGUAUAUUAACGUUGUUGCAGUUAAAAAGCUCGUAGUUGGAUUUCUGGAGGGAGCGUCGGCCCGUAUUUACGAGUGCGUGACGUCUCUGUCCAUCCUUGCGGGAAGGCACGGAAUUGAUUUGUUGUGUCGGAUCGCAUCAUUUACUGUGAAAAAAUUAGAGUGUUCAAAGCAGGCUUUCGCUUGAAUACAUUAGCAUGGAAUAAUAAGAUAGGACUUUGGUGCUAUUUUGUUGGUUGAGCCUAAAGUAAUGAUUAAUAGGGAUAGUUGGGGGCACCUGUAUUGCGUUGUCAGAGGUGAAAUUCUUGGAUUUACGCAAGACAAACAGCUGCGAAAGCGUCUGCCAAGGAUGUUUUCAUUAA